rnacentral:lncRNA from 1 species
UUCCAAGUUUCUUCCUUCUACGCUUUUUCCAAGCUUCCUUCGUUUAUUCCAAGCAUCCUUCAUUCCUUUCAAGCUACCUUCAUUCCUUUCAAGCUUCCUUCAUUCCUUCCUUCCAUCCAAGCUUUCUCCCUUUCUUCCAAGCUUCCUUCCUUUCUUCCAAACGUCCUUAAUUUCUUCUUUCCAUCCAAGCUUCCUUUCUUUCUUCCAAGCUUUCUUUCUUUUUUUCAAGCUUUCUUCAUUCCUUCCUUCAAUCCAACCUAUCUUAUUUCAUUCCUUCCUUCCAUCCAAGCUUCAUUCCUUCUAAGCUUCCUUCUAAGCUUCCUUCCUUUCUUCCAUGCUUCCUUUAUUCCUUCCUUCAAUUCAAGCUUUCUUCAUUCCUUCGUUCAAUCCAAGCUUUCUUCAUUCUUUCCUUCAAUCCAAGCUUUCUUAUUUCAUUCCUUCCUUCCAUCCAAGCUUCAUUCCUUCCAAGAUUCCUUCCUUUCUUCCAUGCUUCCUUUAUUCCUUCCUUCAAUUCAAGCUUUUUUCAUUCCUUCCUUCAAUCCAAGCUUUCUUCAUACCUUCCUUCAAUCCAAGCUUUCUUCAUACCUUCCUUCAAUCCAAGCUUUCUUCCUUCCUUCCUUCCUUCCUUCCUUCCUUCCUUCCUUCCAAGCUUUCUUUCUAAGCUUCCUUUCGUCCUUCCUCUUCCUUCCUUUCUUCCUCCUGAGCUUUCUUUCUAAGUUUCCUUCCUUCCUUCCUUUCAGUGUAUGGUGUGGCUGGGAAUUAUUUGUUGCCUGCUCUAGGUGCUGUGAUUAAUAUUUGGCUGCCAUCCAACGUUGAGUGUGAAAUGGUCAGCAUAUCCUGGUACCAGCAAUGACGCCCUAGUCCAUCCAAUUAACUAAUAAUAGUAUAUUUUGUAAAAUGUGUGUACAUUUUUUAUAUUUUUUCAUCUUCACCACUAAAAGGCCCAAACCAUUGACUGGAUAUUAUCAGGACCAUACUCAUCAUGAUGAUUAAAACAACACUGCUUAGGUAGAUUUAUGAUUAGA